GGAGGCGGUGCGAGUGUAGGUUGUAAUCCCGCUGCCGUUCCUUACCCGUCAGGUGAGUACUCCAGGUUGAAGGCGGCUCCAUGGGUCUUGGUGCUGAGAGUUACCGAGUCGGCGGGGUGCAUGGAGCCGUACAGACUGGUCAUGAUGCAGUAGGUCUCCCGCCCGGGGUCCACCAGCGGCCCGAGGCCGCGGCCCAUCGAACGGCCGUGGACCCAGGCGAACACACCAGUCGGGCGGUAGCGGCGGGUCGGCGGCCCUGGAUCCUGGGACGGAGACAGCGGUGUCUUCCCGCUCAUAGCGGCCCCGGAGCUCUGGCUGCGCACAUACACCGACCGUCACAACCACCUUGUUUCUGGCGUCUCCUCACUCUGUUCCGGGCCACCACACCGACCCCCUAAACAAACGUUCCCUCAGGGAGGAGCUCAUCAAAAACAGUGACAAUCACAGCAAAACCACAACUUCAGGACUUGCCGAACCCCGCAACCACAACUACAGCUGAAGGUGGUGGUGAUGAUGAUGAUGAUGAUGACCCUCAGCUCCUGCAUCAACAACAGAGCAACCUCAAAAUGUUUUCCCCACCAAGUUUUUUAUGACAUUUUUUCAAGGGCAUUGUAGUAUGCAAAGAACACCCGGAAUUCCACAGGUCGACAGGAAAGUACCUUGAAUAUGUUUGGCAAAACACCACUCUGCAAAGUAGAAGAAACUAUGAAAACAUGCUGCACAGUUCCCCAGGUUACAGACAAAAAUGGCAUUCCAAAAAAAAACUUCAAAGCACACAAAAAAUUCACUGUAGCAGGUGUAGAAUGGGAAGACAAAAAUAAUGUUUCUCCCUCUCUCCCACACAUUUUAAACUUGACAAAUGACCAAUACAAGGACUGAGAAAAUUGACAGGAAAUGAAAGUAGCCACCAGAAUCCUGAAGAAACAAUUAUGGUAGAUGAAACUCCAAAUUCUUUGAUGUCAUAAUGGACAUGAUGGAUUGGACAUAUGAUGUAUUUGAACUCUAAGAAAGAUUGACGAGUUACUACACAAAAGAAUUAGAGAUGAUUAGAGAACACAAAACUAGUUACAAAUUUAAUAAAUAGCAAUAAGAAUACAAGUUUGGGGAAGUUCCUCAAGAAGCAGAUUAGCAGUGUCCCUCUGGAUUCAGUGCUGGGGCCACUUCAUUUCAACGUGAAUGUCAUGAUUUGGAUAUAGACUACGGUGAAAUUUGCAGAUCAUGCUACAAUAGGAGAUGCAGAAAAUCCCUCAGGAAAAAAAUAAGGGAGAAAGCUGCAAAGAACUAUGGUCAUUAUGUAUGAGGCUAUGCAUUGCGUAAAUAUAACAGAAAUUACACUGAGCGAAUUACAAGAGCAGAAGGAUUUGGGAUGCAAGACAUAAAGGACAGUUGUUUUAAAAGAAAAAGUUAAUGGAAUUUUAGAGAUA